CCUACGGGCGGCAGCAGUGAGGAAUAUUGGUCAAUGGGCGCGAGCCUGAACCAGCCAAGUAGCGUGCAGGAUGACGGCCCUACGGGUUGUAAACUUCUUUUAUAAGGGAAUAAAGCGCGUCACGUGUGGCGCUUUGCAUGUACCGUAUGAAUAAGGAUCGGCUAAUUCCGUGCCAGCAGCCGCGGUAAUACGGAGGGUCCGGGCGUUAUCCGGAUUUAUUGGGGUUAAAGGGAGCGUAGGGCGGAUGUCAAGCGUGCUGUUAAAUGUGCGGGCUCAACCCUGGCCUUGCAGUUGAAACUGGCGUGCUUGAGUGAGCGGAAAGCAGGCGGAAUGCGUGGUGUAGCGGUGAAAUGCUUAGAUAUGACGCAGAACUCCGAUUGCGAAGGCAGCUUACUGGCGCGGAACUGACGCUGAUGCACGAAAGUGUGGGUAUCGAACAGGAUUAGAUACCCGAGUAGUC
rnacentral:rRNA from 1 species